GUUUUAUUCUUAUUAUGGCAUGUUUAUUCUUAUCGUAAUACUUUCCUCGGCGUCAUCUUAUGCCGGGAAUUGUACAUCCUUCGUAUCGCUAUCACACAAUUUUUCGGAAUCGCUGAUAUCAUCCCCGAUUGACCUCACCGUAGCCAUGAAAGCCAUGAAAUUGAAUAUUGAAAGCAAAAAGAUUUGCCCUAAAUGCUCCAAAACAUUGUGCAACGGAUAUAGUUUGGAACGUCAUCUUAAGAAUGUCUGCGGCAAACCUCGUAAUCCCAAUGGCAAGUUCCAGUGCGAGAGAUGUAAUGAUAGGUACUACCAGAGUAGAGGCAGCCUAACGCGUCAUCAAACAUUUGAGUGCCGCGUACCGGCCCGCUUUAAAUGUUUUUUCUGUCUUAAGCUGUUUCAUCAGAAGACCGUCUUAGAGAGACAUAUCAAGAAAUAUUGCAAGAAUGUGAUUCAACAGACGCGCUGAUGCUUCUACGUCCAACUACCAGCCAAUAAGAAUGCAUUGUUUGUAACCGAGAAAUCUUCCCUACUCCACAUAAUGAACAUUGAAAUCGGUCUAUUCGUCGAUCUGCUCGAUGGUAAUAGCAAUCUUGUCAUCAAGUGAAUCACGAUUCGUACGGAGAGUGGAGGAAGGUUUACGCGGUGCAGUGACGUUGGGACUUUUAUUCUUGCCAAGAAAUUCGUAGACCGAUUGGAAAAACGUAAAACGACGGAUUUGCAAUAAGUAUAGUCAGCACUUCCACGACAAAAUAAAUCAGUGAUUCCUGCCGAAUCGGGUCCACUUUGAAAAGUUGCUCGUACAGAACAAUACUCGAAAAAUGUUAAAAAUGAGAUACUAUAAUUAUCGCUUAAGAAUAUAUUGAGAAAAUUAGGAGAAGAAAAAUAGUGUUAUUUCAAACUGUAAGCAAUAGAGUUCCUUGAGAAAAAUAAAUUCUAUUGAUAAAAUGGGCCUUAAUAUCGAUCAGGAAUUGAAGUUUUCGUUAUUUGGGAAAAGAAGUGAAAACUCUGGAUAGUUCUAGAGUGCGAAGAGAUUCCUCGUAAAGAAAGUUCUUUCACAUAAGCGUUUCUAAUGUAUGUCUUUAUUGAUAAAAGAGGGUUUUUUGUCUCGAAUUAUCGCAUCGGGACGAUCUCGGGAAUGUUAGUUUUUAAAGAAAAUCGGAAGAAUUCACUUUCCAAUUUCUAAGAAUAUUCUUUUCAUUAAGGACAAGAGUUCGGACAUCGGUUUAGAAGGGAAGAAAUAUGUAUUGUUCGAGAACUUUGUCUUAGAUUAACAUGUUAAAUGCUAUGAAAAUCACUGGUGACCAGCAUUCAAUUUUUCAGAGAGAGAGAGAGAGAGAGAGAGAGAG